AUGCUGGAGGUGGAAGAUGUUUCUUGCUUCCAAGACAGGCGCUGUAGAAAGGCAGCAGAGACCUAGUCUGACCACUUGCUAAGGUGCUUCCAGGCUAUUUAAGCCCCAGGAGGUUCUGAACAGGAAGGAACUGGUGCUGAGCUGGAAGCACGCUGAGGAAAUAAAAAAGCAACUAGAUGAAUUAGAUGAGGUUCAGACAUAUUAAGGAAGAAAACAUUUCUACUGUGAAGAACUGCAUGUUGACUUUAUAAAACUUAUUGAUGUAGAAAAUGAUAACAUCUUAGAUGAAUAAGAGGGCCGAAGAAAAAAACCUUCCAUGAUGUACUUCAUCUGUGGCUUGUACAAAGCUGCGUGUGGGUUUCGUUCGUCUGGAUCUGAGCUCUCUGGAAAUACUAUUCCUUGAAGAACCAGCAGAAAUGAAGUUGAUGUCAUUUCGGAAAGUACCGCUUUAGAGAGACAGCGUAUCUGAGAGUGAAAGGAAAUGAAACAGUGGCCUUUACCCUUGGAUAACUGCAGGUAAAUCUGCUAACUGUAUUGGCAUGCAUCUGACUUUUUUCUGCUUCGCUGCUUAGACCAGGCCAAGA
rnacentral:lncRNA from 1 species